UUUGCUUCUUUGAUGCUGUACAGCAAUUAUGUGUCUUAAUUUGAAAGCCUUUGAAUUAUCCAUUUAUCACCACCUGUUCAUUGUGUUGAUCUCAGCCAGUAAAGUGAGGGAGGGUUUUUGCUCUCGCAUAGUUAGGGAGUGAAUUGUGUCUUGAUAAUUUGAGUAGCCCUUCGUUCAUGUAAUGAGGUCAGUCCACAGUGAUAAUGAAGAAUUAGGUUUUGAGAGGAGAAUCAUUAGUGAUUUUGUAAUUUGCUUGAUUCAGAUGUAAUUAUAUCAUGUUACUUUAAAAGAGUUUGAUAAUUACUGACACAUGCUGGUAAUUUAGUGUCCCUAACAGAUCACUGGCCCAUAUCCUGCUCUCCAUUCUCACUGUGCCUGCAUCCCUCCAUCAUUUGUCUGUACACAGGUUGUGGAGUUUUCUCACUCCAACAUGUUUCUUAUGUCUUUUAAAAGGUUCAAAUUCAUAAUAAUAUAAUAAUAUUAAUGUUAGCUAGCAAAAUGGACAGUCGUGUGGGCAGUUUUUGAGCUUUGUUUGCUAUACUUAUGUAUGAACAGACAUGUAUGGAUAUUGUAUCUUGUAAUUCUAAACAUUUUCAUUAUACCACUGUAUAUCAUAAUCAGAUGACAAACACUUGGUGGUUUAUAAACACCAAACAUCAGAAUGAUAUAUACAUAAAUAUAUUGUGUCAUCUUUGCAAGCUACAUAGAAAGGAACAUAGAAACCGAUUUAGUUUUAAAGGUGUUGUCCUUGUGAAGCAUUGCAUCACUUUUAGCAUUUUUAAUAUGGAAGCUGGAAGUCUGGUUGUCUUCCAUGUGCACAUUUACUGUUUCACCACAGCAAGGUCCAAGGUCUGCUUCUUUGUUAGACUGGACCAACUCUCUGCUGAUGAAAACAGUCUCUAGAUAUGGUGUCCAGAGCUCAUAGUGGCAAAGCCAGAAGAAGAUUUUUUUUUUUUUAAUUUGGCACAUAAGCAUUGAACUUUGCCACAUAGCACUGUGCAGUGAACCCAGUUGUUGUCCACCACCAGCACUACUUGCCAAAUUUGGCUUUUUACCAUUUGCUCCUUCAUAAAAUACUAUUGAAGUUAAAGUUAAAGACACUACAUCACUGUUGUGAUCUAGUGGAGGAAAUCUGGUGUGUGUUGCAGAUGUGGAAGCGAUGAGGGUGAUCACGUUUGCUGUUUGUUUAAUAAAUAAGCAGAUGGAACUUUUUGAUCACAUGUGGUGCUGCAAGCACAGAGACAUUUCAAUUAUGCCUCAAAAUAUAUAAACAAAUCAUUACCCGCCGCGUACAGAAAAUGUAAGGAAAUGCCAAAAUAAUGUAAAAUCGGAGCGUUGCGUUAUGGGUUCUUUAUAACCCUUAUUUAAUUGUAAUGUUUGUAGGCUAGCGAGGGGGUUUAUCAGCUUUAAAUGUUAAAUGAAUUUCUGAAUUUGCCUUUAAUGUGUGUUUAAUACUUGGGGGAAACUAAAUUCACAGCUUCUCUUGAUGUCUUUGCUUCAUUCCAGUGUCACAACGAUAAAGAAAUAGUGUGAAAAAAGAGUGGCAGCUCAGGCUGAGCAGCAGGCUUGGUUGGUGUUAAAUGGGGAGAUUGGGAGGCCAGAUGGAUUAUGGUUGGAGAUGAGAGGUCUGAGGCAGGAUGGAUUACAGGUUUUUAUUUUAAUGGAAUCAAUACGCUGUAAGUGUCAUCUUUAUCCUGUGCUGAUGGGAUCAUUCCACUGAACCGGGAGGGCACCGUGACUUUUCUCUGUUUCAGUACUCUUUUGCCUACUCUAGCUUACCUUGUCACAUCUAGAUGGCAGCCAACUUGACAAUUUGUCCAACAUUCUUCAGUAUGUCAGUUUAGGCACUUGGAUGAACUUGUAUGCCACCAGGCAGGCAGACAGUGUGCAUAGCCGUGUAAUGUACACAUGUGAAACUGAGUCCAUAUUUUGACUUUUUCCAGCUCGACACAGGCCUCGCUGAGGAAGCAUCUGUCAUGA